GCAACGUUAAUACAGAAUAUAUACUACGCGACCGACGAUCAGUAUCGUGAUCGGAUUCGCUAUUUUUCCGGAGCAACGUGAUCAAUCUCUCUUUAAUCAGAAAUGAGCACGCCGGUGAAGAAGGUCCCCAUUCACCUGCAGGCACCGCGGUGGCUCGAAGGCAAUAUUUAGAAGGAGACAGAAGAGCUGUAAGGCAGAAAGUAAACACAGAUAGAUACGGGUGUUCCCUGCGUCACUAUUAAAACCGAAAGUUUUUCGUCGCACCGUCGUGACGAUCGCAAGGUUGCUGCCUUAUUGAUCGGAGCGUCUUGGCGCCCGGCACCAGUCUAUCUCGCGGAAAAGGGAACUUGCACAAGAACGCAGAUGAGGUCUCAGUUCACGGGCCGUGUAAACGAAAGUGUGAUCCUUCAGGGGCUGGUAGCGUUUCACUUUCCAGCCUGUGACGCUAAGUUCUUCAGAAACUCUUCGAAUGAAAAUGACGUAAAGAAAUAUUGAAUCGUGAAGACGAUCGUUAUUAUUCAGAUUCUACGUCGAUUGCUUUCUUGUACAUGAAGAUACAAUUCAUCGCUUAUCGAAGCGUGGGAACGAGAAAGUGUAUUUCAGCAUACAAUCGUAGCAUAGAUUCGACGUAAGUAUUAAUGCGUAUGUCUUUCGUUUCUCUCCAAACAAUUUCGCCAAUUUAUAUUAAGUUAACUCGUUGCAUAACGCGUGAGAAUUUCCCAACUGAAAGAUGAAACUAUGCAGAAGAUGCUCCGAUGAUACCAAGCUUCGUUCCGAUCGAAAAGUGAAAUACGAAUGUCUGGUCGUUGGAUUAGGAUCACUCAAAAUUCCCAACUGAUUCGGAUUGCAUUAAGGAAUUCUAACUCGCUGAGGUUACCUAUUUGUCACGUCGCUGCCUUUGAUCCUUUACUUUUAUAAAUAUUCUGAGAAGAGUAGAGACGUAUCUUCCAGGCAAUUUCUCAACGAACGAACUGUUUCGAAAAAAAUCUCAGUUGAAUAAAUUAUUUCAAAAGAAGCUACAACUGUCCAAUUGACUGGAGCAGCGCAUGUAUUGUACAUAAUAUUGGUGAAAAAUUGAUCAAGCGUUUUAGAGAAACUUUACUAUUUGGUUCAGUGAGGAUUUAUUUGGAGAAACGACAUUUAUCAAUCGGAAUAAUUGGACAAUCAUUAAGAAUUUCGACAAUUCGUGCAAUGUGUAUCACAAUUGAAGAGAAGUUUCUGUACGCGAUUCUAAUUCGACGAUCGCUGUAUACUGUACACCCAGUGUCUGAUUGUAAAGCUCGGCAAAAAUCGAUAAACCGGAAAAGGCAUAAUACGGUGGGUGGUACGUGACGGUAAUUCGUACACGCUUGGGAAAAUCGGUACGGCACUGGGACCCGUGUGCUGGUGGAUUGGUAUAGAGGCACGGGGAACGCGGGCUCCACCGGCGAAUCAAUAGUUCGUCGACACUACGUCCGACCUGAAGUCGGAAAAACCACCACGGGGCUCGAUUUUACGAGCGUGUGCGCUCGCUUUCGACGACGACCAGACGGGGAGAUCCUCCGUUUCGCGUUCGCUCUGCACGCUCUGAGAGCUGCGGGAUGGUUUCCACGAGCAAAAAUAAACCGUCACUGACAUUUUUGCUCGUGCCUUUUAUCUCCGGCUAGAGGAUGCAGAAGAUUUGAAGCAGCUGACUUUCGCGAAGGUACGUCCGGACAACUCGAUGCUCUAUAAAGGCUGUGUAGCCUGUUCUUUUGAAACAAUAGCCAGCUGAAGUUUUAAUAGAGUCGACUCUACGAUAACAAGAACGAUAUAAAAAAUCGUUUACAAUCUCUCGCCGAGCCGUGAGUACAGAGUCUUCAGAUCUCGAGGAGUUUCUCUGAAACAUUUUCGAUGUUUCCUGCCUCGUUGAAGACGUUGAAAGGAGAAAAAGGUUGACCGUUUGUUCAGAGAAAGAGACGCAGAGAAAAGCACCCACGAACGGGAUAACGGUCCUGUUGAUUGAGAAUUUCAUCGAAUCGGCUGGCCCCUCUCGAGCCCUCUCAUCAAUCCUCAAAGUUCUGCGUUUCCAUUGACGACAAGUGGUUUCCACGCGGAGUGGCGUGUGCUCGCUCGUUGCCGUCUGUUUGUCUUCUCACCGAGAACUUGAACGGCGAAUUUAGUCGAAUGGAAGUCGGUCAGCUGAAAAUGUAAAUUACCGGCGUUAUUCCGACGCGGACGUAAAUAGACACCGGGAAGCCAGGUGCAAGCCACAUCGGCCGCGUCCGCCGCGGUUUAUCGCGCGAAUUGAAAUUGGAGCAGCUUGCCGGAUCGGUAUUAACCCUUUCUCGUCUCUUUCUCCUCUCCCCUUCGAUUGCACAAGUGCAAGGACAGAGCAGAUACACGCAGACGGAUUCUACAGCUUAAGUAUAUUCCAUCGUUCGUCCGUUCAUCGCGUGUUGACGCAGAGUGUCGUUCC